rnacentral:lncRNA from 1 species
AUCAGCGAGGGAUUCACGGCGAAAUGAGACUGUUCGUGAGUGAUGGCGUCCCGGGUUGCUUGCCGGUGCUGGCCGCCGCCGGGAGAGCCCGGGGCAGAGCAGAGGUGCUCAUCAGCACUGUAGGCCCGGAAGAUUGUGUGGUCCCGUUCCUGACCCGGCCUAAGGUCCCUGUCUUGCAGCUGGAUAGCGGCAACUACCUCUUCUCCACUAGUGCAAUCUGCCGAUAUUUUUUUUUGUUAUCUGGCUGGGAGCAAGAUGACCUCACUAACCAGUGGCUGGAAUGGGAAGCGACAGAGCUGCAGGUAGGACUAAGGUAUGGGGGAUGUCAGGCAGGCCCUUGUUCUGCGUGGCCAUCCUGACUCAUGUCCCCUGCAUUUUAGCCAGCUUUGUCUGCUGCCCUGUACUAUUUAGUGGUCCAAGGCAAGAAGGGGGAAGAUGUUCUUGGUUCAGUGCGGAGAGCCCUGACUCACAUUGACCACAGCUUGAGUCGUCAGAACUGUCCUUUCCUGGCUGGGGUGAGUUGGGUCUUGAGAUGAGGACUGGGGAAGGCUUAUGGUGUAAGGAUUA